GUUAAGAAUUAAGCCAAUGCAUGUGUAAGUAUAAAUAAUUCUCCUUUGAAACGGCGAUGGGCUCAUUAUAUCAGUUAUAGUUAAUUAAAAAAAAGUUCCUACUGGGAUAACCGUAGUAAUUCUAGGGCUAAUACUUGACUAAUUCCCCAACUUUAAAAAGGGGUGUUUAUUAAAAGGAAAACCAUAUGCUUUGGCUGGAUGUGGAGUAAAAAAAACUUUUCUAAUCCAAGGUUAAAAUAACGAUAGUUCUUUCAGGUUUCUGCCCUAUCACCUUUCAAGGGAAGGGAAUGGAACAACCUGGGCAUUACCGGGUAACAAAAAAUUGGGGUUCAAUUUCGAAAAGGGACCCGGAAAAAGGGCUCCCCCUUCCAAGGAAGGCACCAGGCGCGAAAUUUACCCAUCCCGGACCUAGGGAGGUAGGGACAAAAAAUCCCAUGGCGAAACUUUUUUUUUUGAAUUGGGUUUGAAAAAAAUGUAAAACAUUUCUCUAAAAAAAUGUGGGGGGAAUCUGGGGGCCCCACCCCCGGGGAAUUCCCCUCCCCAAUAGCAUAUUUAAACUUUUUUGCAUUAAAAACUCACAA
rnacentral:rRNA from 1 species